rnacentral:rRNA from 1 species
AUGAAGAACGCAGCGAAAUGCGAUAAGUAAUGUGAAUUGCAGAAUUCAGUGAAUCAUCGAAUCUUUGAACGCAUAUUGCGCCCAUUAGUAUUCUAGUGGGCAGGACCGUUCGAGCGUCAUUUCGACCCUUAAGCUUUAGUUGCUUAGUGUUGGGAGCCUACGGCAACGUAGCUCCUCAAAGUUAGUGGCGGAGUUGGUUCACACUCUAGACGUAGUAGAUUUUUAUCUCGCCUAUCAGUUGGACCGGUCCCCUGCCGUAAAACCCCCCAACUUCUUAAAGUUGACCUCGAAUCGGUUCAGACAAACUCGCUAAAUUGAAGCAUCUUAGUCAGCGAAGGAAAAGAAACCAACAGGGAUUGCCCUAGUAACGGCGAGUGAAGCGGCAACAGCUCAAAUUUGAAAUCUGGCCCUCGGGUCCGAGUUGUAAUUUGUAGAGGAUGCUUUUGGCGCGGUGCCUUCCGAGUUCCCUGGAACGGGACGCCUUAGAGGGUGAGAGCCCCGUACGGUUGGACACCAAGCCUCUGUAAAGCUCCUUCGACGAGUCGAGUAGCUUGGGAAUGCUGCUCUAAAUGGGAGGUAAAUUUCUUCUAAAGCUAAAUAUUGGCCAGAGACCGAUAGCGCACAAGUAGAGUGAUCGAAAGAUGAAAAGCACUUUGAAAAGAGGGUUAAACAGCACGUGAAAUUGUUGAAAGGGAAGCGUUUGCGACCAGACCUUUUCCUAGCGGAUCAUCCGGUGUUCUCACCGGUGCACUUCGCUAGGUUUAGGCCAGCAUCGGUUUCUGUAGGGGGAUAAAAGCUCUGGGAACGUAGCUCCUCCGGGAGUGUUAUAGCCCUCUGCAUAAUACCCUUACGGGGACCGAGGACCGCGCUCGGCAAGGAU